CAAAAUGAAUCUGACUUCACAUUUAUAUUUUAUAUUAUAUUUUAUUAUAUUAUAUAUACUUAGUGUUUCGUGGGAGAAAUGAACCGACUAUCUGGAAAGUCUAGGGGUCAGAUGAGCAGUCUGCAGGUGAGCAGUCUGAUAACACACAAAUGCGUCUUUAAUUCUUUUACACGCUCUUAACAGCUUUUUUUUUGUUGUUGCAUUGUUUUGCAUGCACAUUCUACCCUCCACAUUAAGGACUGACUGAACUCCCCUUUAAUACUCAAGCGGUCACAAUGACAGUCCCAACGCCAGAUGAGUUAGUGUCAGUCAGGUGACAGGGCGGACAGAGCGGUCAGGUGACAGGGCGGACAGAGCGGUCAGGUGACAGGGCGGUGGACUCACGGCUGCGUAGCGGCUUUGGAACAUGCGCGGU